rnacentral:rRNA from 1 species
AGGUUAAGUGAAUAAGGGCGCACGGUGGAUGCCUUGGCACUAGGAGCCGAUGAAGGACGGGACUAACACCGAUAUGCUUUGGGGAGCUGUAAGUAAGCUAUGAUCCAGAGAUUUCCGAAUGGGGGAACCCAAUAUCUUUUAUAGGAUAUUACUUUUCAGUGAAUACAUAGCUGAUUAGAGGUAGACGCAGAGAACUGAAACAUCUUAGUACCUGCAGGAAGAGAAAGAAAAUUCGAUUCCCUGAGUAGCGGCGAGCGAAACGGGAAGAGCCCAAACCAACAAGCUUGCUUGUUGGGGUUGUAGGACUCCAAUAUGGUAGUCUGUUAGUAUAGUUGAAGGAUUUGGAAAAUUCCGCUAAAGAGGGUGAAAGCCCCGUAGACGAAAUGCUGACAACACCUAGGAGGAUCCUGAGUACGGCGGAACACGAGAAAUUCCGUCGGAAUCCGCGGGGACCAUCCCGCAAGGCUAAAUACUCCCUAGUGACCGAUAGUGAACCAGUACCGUGAGGGAAAGGUGAAAAGCACCCCGGAAGGGGAGUGAAA